GAUGAACGCUGGCGGCGUGCCUAAUACAUGCAAGUCGAACGCAGAUCCUUCGCUACCUGAGUGUCCGACGGCGGCGGAACACGGUGGUAUCUGCCUGUCAGUGGGGGAUAACUGGCCGAAAUGUCCACUAAGCCCGCAUACGUUCCCGCUUUGGAGUGAAGAAAGCAGCAGUGCGCUGCCAGAGGAGCCUGCGGCACAUCGGAUAGUUGGCUGGGGAAUGUCCCACCAAGUCGGUGACGGGUCCCUGGUUUGAGAGGACGACCAGGCAGACGGGGAAUGAGACACGGACCAGAAUCCUACGGGAGGGAGCAGAAAGGAAUUUUAGGGAAUGGGCGCAAGUGUGACAGAGCAACGUGGGGUGGAGGAUGCCGGCUUUCGGGUUGCAAACUCCUUUUGGGGGGGAUGAUUGUGACAGUAACCGUUGAAUAAGCACCGGCUAACUACGUG
rnacentral:rRNA from 1 species